rnacentral:rRNA from 1 species
UACGGAGGGUGCAAGCGUUAUCCGGAUUCACUGGGUUUAAAGGGUGCGUAGGAGGGUAGGUAAGUCAGUGGCGAAAUCUUCGAGCUUAACUCGGAAACUGCCGUUGAUACUAUCUAUCUUGAAUACCGUGGAGGUGAGCGGAAUAUGUCAUGUAGCGGUGAAAUGCUUAGAUAUGACAUAGAACACCAAUUGCGAAGGCAGCUCGCUACACGAAUAUUGACUCUGAGGCACGAAAGCGUGGGGAUCAAACAGG